AAAACAUCGCCUUCUGCCCUUCAAUAGGAGGUCCAGCCUGCCCAGUGAUAAACUUAAACGGCCGCGGUAUUUUAACCGUGCAAAGGUAGCACAAUCACUUGUUCUCUAAAUAAGGACUAGUAUGAACGGCCCCACGAGGGUUUUACUGUCUCCCCUCUUUAAUCAGUGAAACUAAUCCCCCCGUGAAGAAGCGGGGAUAAUACUAUAAGACGAGAAGACCCCAUGGAGCUUUAAACUAAAUAUCACUUGCACCACACAACAUCACUCAAAUCUAGCAUGCUAUAUUACUAGUUUUUGGUUGGGAUGACCAAGGAGAAAAACAAAACCUCCACGACGAAAAGAAUUAAACCCCUAAUCAAAGAGCAACAACUCGCAGAAUCAACAUAUUGACCUAAUUGACCCAAUACUUUGAGCAACGAACCAAGUUACCCUGGGGAUAACAGCGCUAUCCAUUUCAAGAGCCCCUAUCGACAAAUGGGUUUACGACCUCGAUGUUGGAUCAGGGUCUCCUAGUGGUGCAACCGCUACUAAGGGUUCGUUUGUUCAACGAUUAAAACCCUACGUGAUCUGAGUUCAGAC
rnacentral:rRNA from 1 species